GACGAACGCUGGCGGCGUGCUUAACACAUGCAAGUCGAACGGAAAGGCCUCUUUCGGGGGUUACUCGAGUGGCGAACGGGUGAGUAACACGUGAGUAUCUUCCCCUUGACUUUGGGUUAACUUCAGGAAACUGCGGCUAUUACCCGUUAGGCCCUCCUGCUGCAUGGUGGGGGUUGGAAAGUUUCGGCGGUUGGGGAUGGACUCGCGGCUUAUCAGCUUGUUUGUGGGGUAGUGGCUUACCAAGGCUUUGACGGGUAGCCGGCAUGAGAGGGUGACCGGGGACAAGGGGACUGAGAGACGGAGCAGAGGGCAACGGGAGGCAGCAGGGGGGAAUAUUGCACAAUGGGCGGAAGCGUGAGGCAGCAACGCCGCGAGCGGGAAGACGGCCUAGGGGGGGUAAACCGCAGUAGGCUGAGACGAAGCGGGAGUGACGGUAAUGGGAAAAGAAGCACCGGCUAACUACGUG
rnacentral:rRNA from 1 species